UAUAAAUAAAUCCUAUAGGCAUUGGCAAUCUAGCAUCCAAGCAAAGAGCAAACAACAGUGUGAAUGCUUUAGACUGGUCUAUAGUAUGAAGAUGGGUGAGUACAAAGCAAGCGUAGCUGUGUUAGUGGUUUUGGUUUGUUUGGGAAUGGCAAUGGCGGACAAUCAAGAAAACAAGCCACCUGAAACUUGCCCUAAUGCAAAAGCAAACACCUGCUGCAGUAUCUGCCAGUGCUGUGGCACAGGGACAACUGCCUGUCUCGGUGCUGCCCACUUAUUCUACUUCCCACCUGUUAUCUCACUUCAACCCACCAUAAUAUCCUUUGACCCCAGAUGCACCACUACCACUACUAGUACCAGUACCAGUACCACUGGAUCUUGUCCAUGCAAGGUGUAACACAGACCCAGGUUUACGUACUUAAGCAACAAGGUUAAAUAAGUGAGGCAAUCACUCGCCCACCGUCUAUUUGCUUUUGCUUUUAUGUUAGAUGGACUGUUAAACAUCAAUUGAAGAUGCUAGAUCUGAGUCUUAAUCGAUUCAUAUGAAUUGUCUCUCUAAUGUGUUGUAUCUCAACAUUGAUCUAAAGUAUUGUAUCUUCUCUAUUAGUAUCAAUACAAUCUAAUUAUAUAUAAGUAUUUCUUAUCUA